rnacentral:rRNA from 1 species
CCUACGGGCGACUGCAGUGGGGAAUAUUGGACAAUGGGGGGAACCCUGAUCCAGCGACGCCGCGUGAGUGAAGAAGUAUUUCGGUAUGUAAAGCUCUAUCAGCAGGGAAGAAAAAAAUGACGGUACCUGACUAAGCAGCCCCGGCUAACUACGUGCCAGCAGCCGCGGUACUACGUAGGGAGCAAGCGUUAGCCGGAUUUACUGGGGGUAAAGGGAGCGUAGACGGCGAUGCAAGUCUGAAGUGAAAGGCGGGGGCUCAACCUCCGGACUGCUUUGGAAACUGUAUGGCUGGAGUGCAGGAGAGGUAAGUGGAAUUCCUAGUGUAGCGGUGAAAUGCGUAGAGAUCAGGAGGAACACCAGUGGCGAAGGCGGCUUACUGGACUGUAACUGACGUUGAGGCUCGAAAGCGUGGGGAGCAAACAGGAUUAGAUACCCUUGUAGUC